GUAAAGUGGUGUCUGGGGUAAUACUAAAUGAUGACUAAUUCGUAAUCAGUAGGUUGGGUGUUCGAUUCACCUCAUCAGCACCA
rnacentral:tRNA from 1 species